GUAGGGGGCAAGCGUUGUUCGGAUUUACUGGGGCGUAAAGGGGUGUGUAGGCUGUCUGAGUAAGUCGAAUGUGAAAGUCCAUGGCUCAACCAUGGGAAGUGCAUUCGAUACUGCUUGACUUGAGUUCGAGAGAGGUGAGCAGAAUUCUCGGUGUAGCGGUGAAAUGCGUAGAUAUCGAGAAGAAUACCUGCGGCGAAAGCGGCUCACUGGCUCGAAACUGACGCUGAGACACGAAAGCGUGGGGAGCGAACGGGAUUAGAUACCCCGGUAGUCCACGCUGUAAACGAUGUCGACUUGGUGUUGGAGGUAUCGGCCCCUUCAGUGCCGGAGCUAACGCAUUAAGUCGACCGCCUGGGGAGUACGGUCGCAAGGCUA
rnacentral:rRNA from 1 species